rnacentral:lncRNA from 1 species
ACAGGACCCAAGCCAGAUGCCCCUCUCACUUGGGCCCUGCCCCGAUUUCAUGCUUGACUCUGAGUUCACUCAACAGGAAGCAUUCUGGCAAAUCUUUUCAAAAGCUUCCCCAAAUGCUUCCUCUCCAUGGACAUCUGAUAAAUCCUCUCUAUCUAUCCAUCCCUGCCACUUGCGCAUCUGGACACUCACUGGUAGAGGAGGCAGAAGAGACUGAAGCCUGAAUUCUCUCCCAAAAUGUAACCACUAAACCUCCAUGGAAAUAAUAGUUUGCUGAUUAAAUUUCUGCACAUGCUGUCCUGAAAUAUUAAUACAUAAAUUAGGCUGACAAUUAGAAACACUAUAAAUAACAUGUUUAAUUUGAUAGCUUGGCUACUAUAAUAAAUUUAAUAACUAUUUUUCUUGCUAUAUUCAUUUUCACCCUGGGGUUAAGUGACACUGGCUAAAGUGCUUCUGGAACAAGAAGCAUUUGCAGAAGUAAAGUAUGAAAUUAAUUUUCCUUGCACUGGCUUUAGUCCUGUUGAUAUAAAGGAACCACAUAAAACAUUUCACA